rnacentral:tRNA from 1 species
GCGGGAUUAGUACACUGGUAGUAUGCUACCUUCCCAAGGUAGAGAAGGGAGUUCGAUUCUCCUAUCCCGCUCCA